GUCCCCACCCUCAGAGGCCCUAUGUUCCUGUCUCUGGGAGCCCGAGCCCCAGCCUGAAGUUCACUCAGUGACUCAUCUACAGCACCCCAGGUCUCCCCCUCUCCAUUCCCAGGUCAAGUCUCCCUUGAGGACCACCCAGCACACUCCUCUCCCGGCACCCUAGCCCUCCAGGGACCCCAGGUCUCCCCCUCUCCAUUCCCAGGUCAAGUGUCUCCCUUGAGAACCACCCAGCACAGUCCUCUCCCGGCACCCUAGCCCUCCAGGGACCGUCUGCACAGCAGGGCUCACAUUGAUGCAGAAGAGUGUAGUCAUGCGGUGCAGGUAGUUGGGGUCUCCAGACAUGG